rnacentral:rRNA from 1 species
CCUACGGGAGGCAGCAGUAGGGAAUCUUCCACAAUGGGCGAAAGCCUGAUGGAGCAACGCCGCGUGGGUGAAGAAGGUCUUCGGAUCGUAAAACCCUGUUGUUAGAGAAGAAAGUGCGUGAGAGUAACUGUUCACGUUUCGACGGUAUCUAACCAGAAAGCCACGGCUAACUACGUGCCAGCAGCCGCGGUAAUACGUAGGUGGCAAGCGUUAUCCGGAUUUAUUGGGCGUAAAGGGAACGCAGGCGGUCUUUUAAGUCUGAUGUGAAAGCCUUGGGCUUAACCGGAGUAGUGCAUUGGAAACUGGGAGACUUGAGUGUAGAAGAGGAGAGUGGAACUCCAUGUGUAGCGGUGAAAUGCGUAGAUAUAUGGAAGAACACCAGUGGCGAAAGCGGCUCUCUAGUCUGUAACUGACGCUGAGGUUCGAAAGCGUGGGUAGCAAACAGGAUUGGAUACCCUUGUAGUC